UAGUGGCUACAGGGUUGAACUGGCUUUGGCAGAACUUGUAUGUAUCUCCAAGGCUUUCCACCCCCAUGACACCCUCCAAAUCUCAGUUCCGUCAAGUUUAUUGCCCUUGGGUGACCCAGGCAUACUUCAUCUAGGCUCCUUGACAGCAGAAGAAGUAAGCAAACACUCGGCUCACUGCUCUGCAAUUUCUCUGCAAGCUCUCAGACUCCUUCACACAGCGGUUUAUCUGCUUCUGAGGAGAGGGCAGCAACGGCCAGCUCUGAAAUGAAGUGCCUGAGUCCCAGAGUUUGUUCUUCGACUGUGUGAACAAGAACCUGGAUUCUGGUAACAUCUUUCCAGCAUCAGUGUCACAGUCAACCACUCCCAAGGGUGAGCCAGUGAGCCCUCAGGAACGGAUGAAAGAAAGAAGAUCGCUUGCAGCUGCGUGAUUCCAUUAAGCUCAACCUUUCUGUCUUCCCAUAGAAACUGGUUUUCUGUAAAUCUGGUUUUCUCGAAAACUUUUGUUCCUAUUACCUUCCCUUUGUUGCCAAAACUCUUUUUUUUUUUCUUUUGG